rnacentral:misc_RNA from 1 species
UGCGUAAUUCACCAUUGUUGACAUUUACCAAGAAGACAAUGUUGUGUGUUAUUGAUCCAAUAAAGUUUUUUUAUUCUUCAAUAUUUAAUAAUAUGAGAACAAGUUUUAAGUGGGGGAAAAUAGUAUGCUAAUUGUCAACAUAACAUUGUUAGAUUGUUGCAAGCUGUUCUAAUUUGAGGACGAGUUUUUUUCAAGUGGGAGGAUAUGAUG